rnacentral:lncRNA from 1 species
CAGGUCCAGGACUGAAACAUGGGCCCCUCGACAUCUUAAUGGGUAGAAGGGAUGGAGCAAACUCACUUGGAACAAAGAUGGGCAGGAGGGGGCUGAGCCAGGGCCCAGGCCGACUGCACCUCAGGGGCUCUGGCAGAAGGCUGGGGAGACAGCGGACACGGUAAUUUGGUGGCUUCGCUCUCCUCCUCUGCGCCCUCGUGGACCUCGCACAGAAGCCUGCAUUUCCCAGGCACAAACAAAGCUCCCAAGGCAGGAUAAGAAAUGCAGCUACCAGAGGGGGAGGGACAAGGAAACCAUCUUUGAAAGGCUCAUUAUUCUUACGAAGAAUCUGCAGGAGACAAGGCAUUCUCAAAACAAGGACUCCCACUCCUGCCUCUCUCCCCGACAGGCUCCGUGCUAGCCCCACAACGUCUGCAGUUGUCCUGGCGUUUGGUAAUGACCUGCCUCUCCUGCUGGCCCAGGGGCUGUGUCUGGCUCGUCUUUGCAUCGCUAGUAUCUCGCGUCUGCCCUACAGUAGCACCUGCAGACAUUUGUG